GAAACACACAGACAGACAGAAACAGACAGAACAACAACACAAUGAAUGUGGACUGGCUUAAUAUACAAACAAACACUAAUGUAACGGAACAUAAAAAGUUGUAAAUGAUGUUAAACCAUAAACUAUGUCACACAAAAUGAAAGUUGUUCAUCAUACAGACAAACACACACCCAAACCAACAGAGACAUAAAAGCGCAGAGUCAUGUAGUGAUGCUGUAAAAACACUCUUUCAGUGAGUCAAUCGGUGUAUUAAUGGCACCUUUACCAUAAACCUGUCCAAUUAUUUCACUAGUGUUGAGUGAUGUCUCUGUGUCUGUAAAUAAACUGACUAUAUGAAGCCAUCUGCUGAAUGUUAUUCCCAUCAAAAUAACACAUGCAACAGAACAUAUGACACAAAUAAAACAGGGCAGAUAAGCCCUUUGAUCGACUCAGCAGUGUGCAAUGACAGAACUGUAACAGCUGCACUUCUGCCAUCCCAACAGAGCACAUGGAAAUUAUAUCAGAUCACCUAAUCAUAUGAACAAUUAAGCUGCUAAAAUAUUUAAUCCUCUAAAAAAGUUUUUUUUUAAGCAGAUAAUGAAAAGAAAAAAGCAGGCCUGCACGAGUUAGGGACUGUUUAUGAGUUCCUCCAAGCCUGGUCUCUACCUUACAUAACUCAGCAUUGCAUAACCAGUUAGUCAGCGGUCUCUGAAGUGGCAAAUCCGAGAUCCAACAGUAGAUAGACAAAUCAGGGCACAGUGUGCUUCGGUGUCUUGUAUACAAGUUGAAUGGGCAUUUCUUCAUCGGUCAAAAACCUGUCAUGACCUCUAUUGUUGGAGAUAGGUUGGACCAGUGGGAAUGAAGAUGUGCACCACACUUUGAGAAAAUAUGGUGAGCUUUGUACUGCAUGUGUGUGUGCGUGUUACCUUGUGUAACCUGAUGAAGUAUUAUCUUACUCCCCCCCUGGACGUACUCUGUCAUCUAACUGUUUUCGUCUUCCUGCUAAAAUAAACCUGAACACAUAAAUACACUUAGACAGCAGAUGCAUGCAUGUAUAUAUCUGUCUGAUCAUCUCAAUGUGUGCAACUCCCAGCCAAACAGAGAUCAGCACUUCCUGCAGCAUCGCUGAGUGAUGAGCACAAGUGUCUGUCAAUCAUCUGAAUCAGUUUACAGACUGACUGCUGUAUACUACUUACAAGCUUUAAAAGAUGAUUCCUGUUCCUACAUUUGGUAAUUAGAACCAGCGAAACUCAAAUAUAUAGUCCUGUUUCCUCACAAACCUUAGCAAAAUUAGUGAUAUGCAUGGCAACAGCAAGGCGACGUCUAAGCAAGGUUGCUAUGAUUACUGUUGCCAGGAAACAUGCCAACAAAUUUAUGAAACUAUAAAUCACUUUGCUACUUGUUCUCAACCUAAACUGCCUAAAACCUGCAUUCUUUAUCUCUACUUGCUGCUGUGAGUAAAACAUGACGAGCUGAAAGAAAAUUAAUAACUUGUACAACUUUAUGUUGUUGCAGGAGAGUGAAGGCCACAUUCCUCCACGCUCUCCCCUCCCCUCUCCGACACCUUCUAAAUGUUACCACCGUCAACAUGCUAAAUCAACUCGGCUCUGCCUUUUGCGUCUCGUUGUAGCCUGUGUCUCCCUCACUCUGCACUUCUAAAGCUUCUCUGUCCAACUUUAUGCCACCUGUUAACUUAUCCAUCAGCCAUAUGAAGAGAAGUUACAAGCUACUGAUCUACAAGCUCUCAUCUCUCAUGUUAAACUACGUCUGAGGCUAGUUGUGAGCUUUUCCCUAUCCUUGUGUGAACAUUUUAGCCUAUCGCUGAAAGAACAUCCUGUCUAAAUAUGAGUUUGAGAAUAGAAGAGCCACAUUUCUGUACCUGCCUUUAUCUGCUAUGUCAAUAUUACAUUCAAUAUUUUACAGUGCUGGUUGACAUAUAAAUAAGACCAAAAAUAAUAACACAUGUACAGUACAACUUUUCAGCAAUGUUUACAACUGCUAGAAUUUUGGUUUAAUAACCAUUUGGAGCUUUGCUGUAUAUUUAAAUGUCAUUUUCCUCUCACUCCUUUUUAGAUUUAAUUUUAUCGGAUUGGCAGUAAAUGUGAUGUGUUUAAACAUGCUACAGCAUGUUGCCUGAGAGAACAGGCAACAUGGUCAAACAUAAGAUUAACUAACAACAACAAUGUGCAGUGCAAACUCACUCAAAUUUUUAUUACAACUAUGGCUGAAGUGCUGCUGUAAUCUCACAAUCUGUAGCUGAUUAUCAAGGAGUGUUUUUAUCUGAACAGGAACAUGGGUCCGUUAAUAAAGGCUAGAUACGCUUGACCUAAUUUCUAGACGUGUUUGUUUAAGUGCAAGUCCAGGGUCGCAGACUUGACAAACACUUUACGUCACAUUACUGUAUGUUAUGUUUCUCUUAUUUCCUUUUACCUGUUUGUUUUUUGUGUUUGUUUGGCAUGUACAGUAUACACAGGGCUCCAGACUGCGACCAUUUAGUUGCAUUUUGCAACAGCGCUACUAAAUUUUAUAACUAGGAGCACCAGUGCAACUUGCAAAUAUUUCCUCCGUUUUUGUUUUGUUUUUUAAAAUCAUCAUCGUAUAUCAUGUGAAAGAAGCCGUAAGACAGACGACAAGAGGGAUAAGAUAAGCAAGGUUUGUGUUUGGUUAGUGGGCUAUUUAGCUAUAUCGUCACAGACUUUUGUGGAAACAUGUAGGGAGCACUAGUGCUACUAAUGAAAAAAGUCUGAGCCCUGAUACUUGUCUGUACAUCCUGUAUAUACAUUCAGUGGUGGUGUCUUGACAGUAUAUGUAAUACGUUAAUCACUGUAUAGACCUUGAGAAGUUUGACACCAAGUGCCCUGAACCCAGUGACCCCAGCUUAUUGAGGGAGUGGUAGGUUCCAGUUAGACUAAAGAUUAUAAGGUUAAGACAAGUUUCCAGAACUUUACCAACUCAAUUUAAUGUCACAUUACUAGCACAAACAUUUUUUUUUUUUUUUUACACUUUGUGGCAUCAUGUAGCUAACUAACCAAAGAGAUGAUUUUCUCUUGUGUUCUCUAUUCACAAAUAUUAACUUAGGGGUAGGUUCAAUUAAGACUCAUUUGCUCUAUAUACUAGAAUGAGUUUUUUUUUUUUUUAUUUACUGACUUUUGCUGAGAAACUGCACAGACUAAACUGAAUGUAUCCACAGAAAAAGACAGAAAA